rnacentral:tRNA from 1 species
GCCCCGAUAGCUCAGUAGGAUAGAGCGCACCCCUCCUAAGGGUGAGGCCGCAGGUUCGACUCCUGCUCGGGGCGCCA